rnacentral:tRNA from 2 species
GCCCCGAUGGCGAAAUUGGUAGACGCAAGGGACUUAAAAUCCCUCGUUCUUUGAACGUGCCGGUUCGACCCCGGCUCGGGGCACCA